rnacentral:rRNA from 1 species
AACCUCCGCAAUGUGAGAAAUCGCGACGGGGGGAUCCCAAGUGCCAUUCUUAACGGGAUGGCUUUUCUUAAGUGUAAAAAGCUUUUGGAAUAAGAGCUGGGCAAGACCGGUGCCAGCCGCCGCGGUAACACCAGCAGCUCUAGUGGUAGCUGUUUUUAUUGGGCCUAAAGCGUUCGUAGCCGGUUUGAUAAGUCACUGGUGAAAUCCUGUAGCUUAACUGUGGGAAUUGCUGGUGAUACUGUUGAACUUGAGGUCGGGAGAGGUUAGCGGUACUCCCAGGGUAGAGGUGAAAUUCUGUAAUCCUGGGAGGACCACCUGUGGCGAAGGCGGCUAACUGGAACGAACCUGACGGUGAGGGACGAAAGCUAGGGGCGCGAACCGGAUUAGAUACCCGGGUAGUCCUAGCCGUAAACGAUGCGGACUUGGUGUUGGGAUGGCUUUGAGCCGCUCCGGUGCCGAAGGGAAGCUGUUAAGUCCGCCGCCUGGGAAGUACGGUCGCAAGACUGAAACUUAAAGGAAUU